rnacentral:misc_RNA from 1 species
UGUCAGGAAUCAGGGUA